CAAAAGGGCUGCUCAACAGCUUCAUACUGUAUGUCGAGCGAAUGGAUUAAGAGCUUGCUCUUAUGAAGUUAGCGGCGGACGGGUGAGUAACACGUGGGUAACCUGCCCAUAAGACUGGGAUAACUCCGGGAAACCGGGGCUAAUACCGGAUAACAUUUUGAACCGCAUGGUUCGAAAUUGAAAGGCGGCUUCGGCUGUCACUUAUGGAUGGACCCGCGUCGCAUUAGCUAGUUGGUGAGGUAACGGCUCACCAAGGCAACGAUGCGUAGCCGACCUGAGAGGGUGAUCGGCCACACUGGGACUGAGACACGGCCCAGACUCCUACGGGAGGCAGCAGUAGGGAAUCUUCCGCAAUGGACGAAAGUCUGACGGAGCAACGCCGCGUGAGUGAUGAAGGCUUUCGGGUCGUAAAACUCUGUUGUUAGGGAAGAACAAGUGCUAGUUGAAUAAGCUGGCACCUUGACGGUACCUAACCAGAAAGCCACGGCUAACUACGUGCCAGCAGCCGCGGUAAUACGUAGGUGGCAAGCGUUAUCCGGAAUUAUUGGGCGUAAAGCGCGCGCAGGUGGUUUCUUAAGUCUGAUGUGAAAGCCCACGGCUCAACCGUGGAGGGUCAUUGGAAACUGGGAGACUUGAGUGCAGAAGAGGAAAGUGGAAUUCCAUGUGUAGCGGUGAAAUGCGUAGAGAUAUGGAGGAACACCAGUGGCGAAGCGACU
rnacentral:rRNA from 2 species